GAGUUUGAUCCUGGCUCAGAUUGAACGCUGGCGGCAUGCCUAACACAUGCAAGUCGAACGGCAGCACUGGGAGCUUGCUCCCUGGUGGCGAGUGGCGGACGGGUGAGUAACGCGUAGGAAUCUGCCUCAUAGCGGGGGACAACUCGGGAAACUCGAGCUAAUACCGCAUACUACUCGAGAGAGGAAAGCAGGGGACCGUUCGGGCCGUUGCACUAUGAGAUGAGCCUGCGUUGGAUUA
rnacentral:rRNA from 1 species